rnacentral:rRNA from 1 species
CUAAGGCUCCAGAGGAAGCCACGGCUAACUCUGUGCCAGCAGCCGCGGUAAUACAGAGGCGGCAAGCGCUGUUCGGAAUUAUUGGGCGUAAAGAGCACGUAGGUGGUUCUGUAAGUCAGAUGUGAAAGCCUUCUGUUCAAAGGAAGAACGGCAUCUGAAACUACAGAUCUUGAGUGUAGGAGGGGAGAGUGGAACUUCUGGUGGAGCGGUGAAAUGCGUAGAUAUCAGAAGGAACGUCGGCGGCGAAAGCGACUCUCUGGCCUAUUACUGACACUGAGUGUGCGAAAGUUAGGGGAGCAAACGGGAUUAGAUACCCCGGUAGUCCUAACUGUAAA